rnacentral:rRNA from 1 species
UACGUAGGGGGCAAGCGUUGUCCGGAAUCAUUGGGCGUAAAGCGCGCGUAGGCGGCCCGGUAAGUCCGUUGUGAAAGUCAAAGGCUCAACCUUUGAACGCCGUUGGAUACUGCCGGGCUAGAGUCCGGAAGAGGCGAGUGGAAUUCCUGGUGUAGCGGUGGAAUGCGCAGAUAUCAGGAGGAACACCAAUAGCGAAGGCAGCUCGCUGAGACGGUACUGACACUAAGGCGCGAAAGCGUGGGAGCGAACAGG